GGCGAACGGGUGAGUAACACGUAAGGAACCAACCCUAAAAGCGAGGAUAACUCCGGGAAACUGGAGCUAAUACUGGAUAGGAUAUAUUGUCAAAAGGCGGUAUAUUUAAAGAUGCCUUCAAGCAUCGAUUUAGGAUGGUCUUGCGUCGCAUUAGAUAGUUGGUGAGGGUAACGGCCCACCAAGUCAACGAUGCGUAGCUGAGCUGAGAGGCUGAACAGCCACACUGGGACUGAGACACGGCCCAGACUCC
rnacentral:rRNA from 1 species